UCAGGGUGUUGUAGUAAACACUGGUAAGUAAUAAACUCAGAUUGUCGUUUUACUACGACGAUUGGGAUAGCAAGCUGGCUCUGCUU
rnacentral:tRNA from 1 species